AUGGCGUGGAGAUGGGUUCUGCCAGUUCUGCGGCUCCUGUAUAGCAUAAUGAAAUGUGCCUUUGGCUUUCGCCAAGUUCCUGAUGCUGUGAGUGAACUCUUUGAUUUCUGGCUCCCCAGAUUUAAGCAGGAACAGAAACUGAUUGUGGUUGAUGUGCCGUCUGUUUUGUGGACGAUUUGGAAAUGCCGGGAUAGUGCUUGCCUUGAGAGUAAGAUUGGUGGUCCUGAUGUGGUGAUUCAUCUAGUUGGACAUCGGCUUAACUCAUGGUUUAUUUUGCAGAUAAAACAGGUGAAUCGCGAGACGCUAACCCAGGGAGUAAAGCCAUUCAAGCAAAUAGCAAAUGAGGUGGCUGGCGCGCCGUUAGGAUGA
rnacentral:rRNA from 1 species